UACGUAGGGUGCGAGCGUUGUCCGGAAUUAUUGGGCGUAAAGCGCUCGUAGGCGGUGUGUCACGUCGGCCGUGAAAACCUGCAGCUUAACUGUGGGCGUGCGGUCGAUACGGGCAUCACUGGAGUUCGGCAGGGGAGACUGGAAUUCCUGGUGUAGCGGUGAAAUGCGCAGAUAUCGGGAAGAACACCCGUGGCGAAGGCGGCUCUCUGGGACGGUACUGACGCUGAGACGCGAAAGCAAGGGGAGCAAACAGG
rnacentral:rRNA from 1 species